AGUUUCCAGAUCGUAGGUUAAAAGCUGUGUCGGUCGCCUCGUUUCAUCUCCAUCUUCAUGUCUGUAUUUCUUUUGGGCAUUUUCCUAUAGAAUUUUUUUUUUCUUUUCCCCUUCUUCCUGAAUUGGAAUUUGGGUGGAACACUGAUCCUAACAAACGCUGCUGGUGACUUCAGUUCUUCCAUCUAAACCUCUUCCCAGAGUGUAUCAUCCCUGCAGUAUCUACACGCAUCAUUGACUGAGACACUCAGAUUAUACCCUGCAGUUCCCUCGGAUGGCAAACUGUGUUUAUCAGAUGACACUUGGCCUGAUGGGUUCAGAGUAAGGAAAGGGGAUGAAAUUUAUAUAGGGUGAUGAUGCAGAGGAUUUCCUGCCAGAGAGAUGGUUUGAUGAAAAUGGUUGCUUUCGACGAGAAAGUGCCUUUAAGUUCACAGCUUUUCAGCGGACAAACUAUUGAGCUCGAUGAUGUUACUUUCCACCAAUGUUUGACAAGAUUCAAUUCUGACUAGACUGUCAGCUUCGUACCACCAGAGAUGAAGUAUAUGUACAUGAUUGUUUUUAGGCUCUGUUUUUAUUAUCUUCGGAGUUUGUGGCUCUUCAUUUAUCCUUGUAGAACAAAGCUAAAUUGCUGAUUUGUCCUUUUUGAAUUUUUAUGCAAUCAGAGUAUUGAUUAUAUUAA